rnacentral:rRNA from 1 species
UGGGGAAUUUUGGACAAUGGGGGAAACCCUGAUCCAGCCAUCCCGCGUGUGCGAUGAAGGCCUUCGGGUUGUAAAGCACUUUUGGCAGGAAAGAAACGUCAUGGGUUAAUACCCCGUGAAACUGACGGUACCUGCAGAAUAAGCACCGGCUAACUACGUGCCAGCAGCCGCGGUAAUACGUAGGGUGCAAGCGUUAAUCGGAAUUACUGGGCGUAAAGCGUGCGCAGGCGGUUCGGAAAGAAAGAUGUGAAAUCCCAGAGCUCAACUUUGGAACUGCAUUUUUAACUACCGGGCUAGAGUGUGUGAGAGGGAGGUGGAAUUCCGCGUGUAGCAGUGAAAUGCGUAGAUAUGCGGAGGAACACCGAUGGCGAAGGCAGCCUCCUGGGAUAACACUGACGCUCAUGCACGAAAGCGUGGGGAGCAAACAGG